GACGAACGCUGGCGGCGUGCCUAAUACAUGCAAGUCGAGCGGACAGAUGGGAGCUUGCUCCCUGAUGUUAGCGGCGGACGGGUGAGUAACACGUGGGUAACCUGCCUGUAAGACUGGGAUAACUCCGGGAAACCGGGGCUAAUACCGGAUGGUUGUUUGAACCGCAUGGUUCAGACAUAAAAGGUGGCUUUGGCUACCACUUACAGAUGGACCCGCGGCGCAUUAGCUAGUUGGUGAGGUAACGGCUCACCAAGGCAACGAUGCGUAGCCGACCUGAGAGGGUGAUCGGCCACACUGGGACUGAGACACGGCCCAG
rnacentral:rRNA from 1 species